GAUGAACGCUGGCGGCGUGCCUAAUACAUGCAAGUCGAGCGAACGGACGAGAAGCUUGCUUCUCUGAUGUUAGCGGCGGACGGGUGAGUAACACGUGGAUAACCUACCUAUAAGACUGGGAUAACUUCGGGAAACCGUAGCUAAUACCGGAUAAUAUUUUGCACCGCAUGGUUCAAAAGUGAAAGACGGUCUUGCUGUCACUUAUAGAUGGAUCCGCGCUGCAUUAGCUAGUUGGUCAGGUAACGGCUUACCAAGGCAACGAUGCAUAGCCGACCUGAGAGGGUGAUCGGCCACACUGGAACUGAGACGCGGUCCAGACUCCUAAGGGAGGCAGCAGUAGGGAAUCGUCCGCAAUGGGCGAAAGCCUGACGGAGCAACGCCGCGUGAGUGAUGAAGGUCUUCGGAUCGUAAAACUCUGUUAUUAGGGAAGAACAUAUUUGUAAGUAACUGUGCAGAUCUUGACGGUAACUAAUCAGAAAGCCACGGCUAACUACGUG
rnacentral:rRNA from 1 species